rnacentral:lncRNA from 1 species
UGAAUAAAAGAGGAUUCAUUCGGGUGAAGUCCCGAAUCCUUACUGCAGCAGAAUUUGCCACUGGGUUGGAUGGAACAGCAGCUGGCCAUUCAUUCUGGGCUAUGACUGAACUGGCUAGAGUAGUGAAUAUAGUCCUGAAUUCUGCAUGAGAGACAUGCUCAUUCAAAAGAUCUGGCUGGACGGGCUGAGGUGCUGAUUGAUUUCCAUUUCCCCCUUCGCUAGCCCUUUUGGGAGGCAUGAUCCAUAAACGAAGGGAAGAAGCAGAUUUGACUGAG